rnacentral:rRNA from 1 species
AGCAGCCGCGGUAAUUCCAGCUCCAAUAGCGUAUAUUAAAGUUGUUGCAGUUAAAAAGCUCGUAGUUGAAUUUCGGGGUUAGUAGGUUGGUCAUGCCUCUGGUAUGUACUGGUCUCACUGAUUCCUCCUUCCCGAUGAACCUUAAUGCCAUUAAUUUGGUGUUUUGGGGAAUUUGGACUGUUACUUUGAAAAAAUUAGAGUGUUUAAAGCAAGCUAACGCUUGAAUACAUUAGCAUGGAAUAAUGAAAUAGGACGUUCGAUCCUAUUUUGUUGGUUUCUAGGAUUGACGUAAUGAUUAAUAGGGAUAGUUGGGGGCAUUAGUAUUCAAUUGUCAGAGGUGAAAUUCUUGGAUUUAUUGAAGACUAACUACUGCGAAAGCAUUUGCCAAGGAUGUUUUCAUUAAUCAAGAACGAAAGUUAGGGGAUCGAAGACGAUCAGAUACCGUCGUAGUCUUAACCAUAAACUAUGCCGACUAGGGAUCGGAUGAUGUUAAUUUUUUAAUGACUCA